GACGAACGCUGGCGGCGUGCCUAAUACAUGCAAGUAGAACGCUGAAGGAGGAGCUUGCUUCUCUGGAUGAGUUGCGAACGGGUGAGUAACGCGUAGGUAACCUGCCUGGUAGCGGGGGAUAACUAUUGGAAACGAUAGCUAAUACCGCAUAAGAGUAGAUGUCGCAUGACAUUUGCUUAAAAGGUGCAAUUGCAUCACUACCAGAUGGACCUGCGUUGUAUUAGCUAGUUGGUAAGGUAACGGCUCACCAAGGCAACGAUACAUAGCCGACCUGAGAGGGUGAUCGGCCACACUGGGACUGAGACACGGCCCAGACUCCUACGGGAGGCAGCAGUAGGGAAUCUUCGGCAAUGGACGGAAGUCUGACCGAGCAACGCCGCGUGAGUGAAGAAGGUUUUCGGAUCGUAAAGCUCUGUUGUAAGAGAAGAACGAGUGUGAGAGUGGAAAGUUCACACUGUGACGGUAUCUGACCAGAAAGGGACGGCUAACUACGUG
rnacentral:rRNA from 1 species